rfam:Daphnia pulex DAPPTscaffold_362_Cont9034, whole genome shotgun sequence.
GCGAUGGUGGUAUAGUGGAUAGCAUAGUCGCCUUCCAAGCAAUUGACCCGAGUUCGAUUCUCGGUUAUCGCA